rnacentral:lncRNA from 1 species
AUGCCAAAUUCUACAGAAAAACACAAUACAAAUUUUUAUCUGAAUCUAAAACUUGCCUUCCAUUGUAUCGACCCUUCGUAUAAGCAGGUGCCUCCAUUAUCGUUUCUUCCAUAACAAGUAAAGGUUUCGUCACUUCCGUAAAGGGUUUUGCAGUUGCAUCAACAUCUAAGGUUUUCAGAUCUGAGCGGAUCAGGUUUUGGACGGAAAGACAAGCCGGAACGACGAUCGGAGAAGCUAAAAAUUCCAAUUUUUCUUCUGCGGCGGUGGAGUGGUUGCGGUAGGCGGUAGAGUGGUGGUGGUGGGCGGCAAUUGUGGUGGUGGUGGUGUGGGUUUGAGAUGAAUCAUAAAAGAGAAAGACGUACUGCGUUUUUUAGAUCUAGGGUUUUCAUGAGACUAAUUUGUGUUUGACUAAAAUGCCCCUCCUGAUGUUUUUUCUUUUUGUCACAUGUCAUAAUCCUAUUGCUUCCUAUCCUUCCUAGCCAAAAUAAACUUUCUAUUUGAUCAUUUCCCAAGUAAAUAAUAAUAACAAUGUUAAUUAGCUGUUUUUCCUUUUCUAUUCAAUUGUAUUUUUAGAUUGUAUUGUGGCUGUUAUUGACCAUCGUAAUUAUAGGCUAGUCAAUCUCCUUUCCUUGUAAACUGUACGUUGUAUUUGGCUUAUAUAAGCCUUGUAAUAUUCGUAAAUGAAAUACACUUCUUC